rnacentral:snRNA from 1 species
AUACUUACCUGGCAGGGGAGAUACCAUGAUCACGAAGGUGGUUUUCCCAGGGCGAGGCUUAUCCAUUGCACUCUGGAUGUGCUGACCCCUGCGAUUUCCCCAAAUGUGGGAAACUCGACUGCAUAAUUUGUGGUAGUGGGGGACUGCGUUCGC